GGCACUGAGAAAAUUCUCAAUAUUUCAGAGA
rnacentral:piRNA from 1 species